GACGAACGCUGGCGGCGUGCUUAACACAUGCAAGUCGAACGGAAAGGCCCUGCUUUUGUGGGGUGCUCGAGUGGCGAACGGGUGAGUAACACGUGAGUAACCUGCCCUUGACUUUGGGGUAACUUCAGGAAACUGGGGCUAAUACCGGAUAGGAGCUCCUGCUGCAUGGUGGGGGUUGGAAAGUUUCGGCGGUUGGGGAUGGACUCGCGGCUUAUCAGCUUGUUGGUGGGGUAGGGGCUUACCAAGGCUUUGACGGGUAGCCGGCCUGAGAGGGUGACCGGCCACAUUGGGACUGAGAUACGGCCCAGACUCCUACGGGAGGCAGCAGUGGGGAAUAUUGCACAAUGGGCGGAAGCCUGAUGCAGCAACGCCGCGUGCGGGAUGACGGCCUUCGGGUUGUAAACCGCUUUCGCCUGUGACGAAGCGUGAGUGACGGUAAUGGGUAAAGAAGCACCGGCUAACUACGUG
rnacentral:rRNA from 1 species